UAGGGAAUCUUCCACAAUGGGCGCAAGCCUGAUGGAGCAACACCGCGUGAGUGAAGAAGGGUCUCGGCUCGUAAAGCUCUGUUGUUAAAGAAGAACACGUAUGAGAGUAACUGUUCAUACGUUGACGGUAUUUAACCAGAAAGUCACGGCUAACUACGUGCCAG
rnacentral:rRNA from 1 species